AGCGAACGCUGGCGCAGGCCUAAACAAUUCCAAGUGGACCGACCCUUCCGGGGUAAGGGCGGGCGGGGGAGUCACACCGUGGGAAGUUCCUUUUAGGUUGGGAUUACCUAGGGAAAAUUGGUCUUAAUACCAAUGUGGCCUUUCGGGGGAAGAUUUAUCGCCUUUAGAGCGGCCCGCGUCUGAUUAGCUAGUUGGUUGAGGUAAUGGCUCACCAAGGCGACGAUCAGUAGCUGGUCUGAGAGGAUGAUCAGCCACAUUGGGACUGAGACACGGCCCAAACUCCUACGGGAGGCAGCAGUGGGGAAUCUUGCGCAAUGGGCGAAAGCCUGACGCAGCCAUGCCGCGUGAAUGAUGAAGGUCUUAGGAUUGUAAAAUUCUUUCACCGGGGACGAUAAUGACGGUACCCGGAGAAGAAGCCCCGGCUAACUUCGUG
rnacentral:rRNA from 1 species